rnacentral:rRNA from 1 species
UACGUAGGGACCAAGCGUUGUUCGGAUUUACUGGGCGUAAAGGGCGCGUAGGCGGCUUUGUAAGUCACUUGUGAAAUCUCUGAGCUUAACUCAGAACGGCCAAGUGAUACUGCAAUGCUAGAGUAUUGGAGGGGCAAUCGGAAUUCUUGGUGUAGCGGUGAAAUGCGUAGAUAUCAAGAGGAACACCUGAGGUGAAGACGGGUUGCUGGACACAUAUUGACGCUGAGGUGCGAAAGCGUGGGGAGCAAACAGG